rnacentral:rRNA from 1 species
UACGGAGGGGGGCUAGCGUUGUUCGGAAUUACUGGGCGUAAAAGCGCACGUAGGCGGCUUUUGUAAGUUAGGAGGUGAAAGCCCCAGGGCUUAAACCCUGGAAUUUGCCUUUAAGACUGCAUCGCUAGAAUCGUGGAGAGGUAAGUGGAAUUCCGAGUGUAGAGGUGAAAUUCGUAGAUAUUCGGAAGGAACACCAGUGGCGAAGGCGACUUACUGGACACGUAUUGACG